rnacentral:rRNA from 1 species
AUUGAACGCUGGCGGCAGGCCUAACACAUGCAAGUCGAACGAGUGGCGGACGGGUGAGUAAUGUCUGGGAAACUGCCUGAUGGAGGGGGAUAACUACUGGAAACGGUAGCUAAUACCGCAUACCAUCAGAUGUGCCCAGAUGGGAUUAGCUUGUUGGUGGGGUAACGGCUCACCAAGGCGACGAUCCCUAGCUGGUCUGAGAGGAUUACCAGCCACACUGGAACUGAGGCACGUUCCAGGCUCCUACGGGAGACAGCAGUGGCGAAUAUUUCACAAGGGGCUCAAGCCUGAUGCGACCAUGCCGCGUGUAUGAAGAAGGCAUUCGGGUUUUAAAGUACAUUCAGCGGGGAGUCGUUACCCGCAGAAGAAGCACCGGCUAACUCCGUGCCAGCCGCCGCGGUAAUUC